rnacentral:rRNA from 1 species
GACGGAAGGUGCAAGCGUUGCUCGGAAUCACUGGGCGUAAAGGGUGCGUAGGCGGCCGUGCAAGUCUGGCGUGAAAGCCCCGGGCUCAGCCCGGGAAGUGCGCUCGAAACUGCGCGGCUCGAGUGCCGGAGGGGAGAGUGGAAUUCCUGGUGUAGCGGUGAAAUGCGUAGAUAUCAGGAGGAAUACCGGUGGCGAAAGCGACUCUCUGGACGGCAACUGACGCUGAGACGCGAAAGCGUGGGGAGCGAACAGG